rnacentral:SRP_RNA from 1 species
GAUCGCUGGGCGCGGCGCAGGCCGACGAACCUGGUCAGGGGGGAAACCCAGCAGCCAUAAGUUGAACUUGCGGGUGCGAUCCAGCGGUCUGC